AGUCUGGCUGAGGCCCAAGUUGCCAGAGGAAAGCUCUAGAGAACUAGAGGAUUCAGAUAGGAUGAUGGGUCAAGUCUUAUUUCAUAUCCUGAUAUGCGGUGACAAAACGAAGCAGGACUGGAUAGAAUGUUGAGAAAAGUUAAAAGAAGAAACAAGUGAACUAUAAUGGAAAUAAAUAGGAGAGAGAAAGAGAAUGAACAGUUCAGAAAAACAGAAGAUAAAAAAAGUAGAGAUCAGCAUAAUCUGACAGAGAGGCUGGCAUUGAUUGGAAGCCUGCUCCUGCUGGAUGCUGUCCUGAGCCCUCUCACAGACACAAGUCUGGGAUGCUUACCACAAACCUACGAGUAGAAUUCUUAUCCAUGUUUUACAGGUAAGGACACUGAGGCUUGGGAAGAGGACAUCACUUGCCUGAGGUGACACUGCUGUUAGGCAGCUGAGCUGCAACUCAAAUCUGGGCCCAUCUGACUCUAAUGUUUGUUUUAACCCAGGUGUUAUCCCCUAUUUUCUAGGCAUUUCCAAUUGAUCUGUCUUUCCGACACUGUUAGCGACAAUAUGGUAACUGAUGUGUGUUCUAACGAGCUGAAGGUUCCACAGAGAAUUUCUGGAGUUUAGUUCUCACCACAAAAUAUUAGUGAAGCAAAUGGUAGAAAUUUUCGCCAAACUCAAAUAGGGAUUAUUCUUUUUAUGUAUUUUUCUUGCACAUGGUUGAUUAACCAUUAAAACCAUUAUGUUAGUAUUGAAGAACCAAUGUAUUCUGGUUUCAAAUGUGCGGGGAAAAAUACAAUCUGCUAGGCAGGGAGCUCAGUGUAUCAUUAUACUGCAGAUUUCACCAUGGGUUAUUCUGAAUGGAAAUGAAGAUAUCUGGAAUCAUCAGCAAACUUUGGCUUUCUUACUAGAGCUCAACUGACCUUUUGGCGUAAGGUUAGCUAUUAUCAACACAGGAAGAAUGCCUCCAUCGUAUUCCUGUGUUUGCGAGCAUCAUGAAGCUUAAGGUUCUGGUUGCCAAGCACUUUGAAUUGAACAGGAGCCCAAUAAAUGCCAGGGAAUGAAUGACGAGGACUCA
rnacentral:lncRNA from 12 species